GCACUGCUGACGAGUCCCAUACCAAAACGAAACGGCCGUUCAGUGC
rfam:Schistosoma margrebowiei strain Zambia genome assembly, scaffold: SMRZ_contig0004580